rnacentral:rRNA from 1 species
ACUGCCGGUGACAAACCGGAGGAAGGUGGGGAUGACGUCAAGUCAUCAUGGCCCUCACGGGGUGGGCUACAAACGUGCUACAAUGGGCGGCACAGAGGGCUGCGAACCAGCAAUGGCAAGCGAAUCCCAAAAAACCGCUCGUAGUCCGGAUAGGAGUCUGCAACUCGACUCCUUGAAGUCGGAAUCGCUAGUAAUCGCGAAUCAGAAUGUCGCGGUGAAUACGUUCCCGGGCCUUGUACACACCGCCCGUCACGUCAUGGGAGUGGGUUGCACCAGAAGUAGCUAGUCUAACCUUCGGGAGGACGGUUACCACGGUGUGAUUCAUGACUGGGACGAAGUCGUAACAAGGUAGCCGUAGGGGAACCUGCGGCUGGAUCACCUCCUUAAAC